UAUUUAAAAUAUUCGGUUGGUGCAAAAUUAGUUGAGUUUUUUGCUAUUUAAAAGAGUAAUGGCAAAAACUGUAAUUACUUUUGUACCAACCUAAUACAA
ensembl:miRNA